rnacentral:snoRNA from 1 species
CCCCUCUUAGGGUCACACUUGGAGAGUUUCCAGGACUCUACCAGUCUCGACUAUGGGAGGGAGAGCCAAGCAGAGGCCCACCCCUUCCAAUCCUAGCUUGGGCAGUGGCUAGCGAGUGGAAGGCCAUCUGCUACAAGU